rnacentral:rRNA from 1 species
UGCAAGUCGGGACGGGAUUGAGGGGCUUGCCCUUCAUGAGAGUGGCGCACGGGUGCGUAACACGUAUGUAACCUACCUUAGUCAGGGGGAUAGCCUCUCGAAAGAGAGAUUAAGACCGCAUAACAUUAUGCUGUGGCAUCGCAGGAUAAUCAAAUAUUUAUAGUGACUAAGAUGGGCAUGCGCAACAUUAGCUAGUUGGUGUGGUAACGGCAUACCAAGGCGACGAUGUUUAGGGGAUCUGAGAGGAUGACCCCCCACACUGGUACUGAGACACGGACCAGACUCCUACGGGAGGCAGCAGUAAGGAAUAUUGGUCAAUGGACGGAAGUCUGAACCAGCCAUGCCGCGUGCAGGAAGACGGCCCUACGGGUUGUAAACUGCUUUUGCAGGGGAAUAAACCUUCUUACGAGUAAGAAGUUGAAUGUACCUUGAGAAUAAGGAUCGGCUAACUCCGUGCCAGCAGCCGCGGUAAUACGGAGGAUCCAAGCGUUAUCCGGAUUUAUUGGGUUUAAAGGGUGCGUAGGCGGCUUUUUAAGUCAGGGGUGAAAGACGGUAGCUCAACUAUCGCAGUGCCCUUGAUACUGAAGAGCUUGAAUGUACUUGAGGUAGGCGGAAUGUGACAAGUAGCGGUGAAAUGCAUAGAUAUGUCACAGAACACCAAUUGCGAAGGCAGCUUACUAAAGUAUGAUUGACGCUGAGGCACGAAAGCGUGGGGAUCAAACAGGAUUAGAUACCCUGGUAGUCCACGCCCUAGACGAUGAACACUCGAUGUUGGCGAUAUACGGUCAGCGUCUAAGCGAAAGCGUUAAGUGUUCCACCUGGGGAGUACGCCCGCAAGGGUGAAACUCAAAGGAAUUGACGGGGGCCCGCACAAGCGGAGGAGCAUGUGGUUUAAUUCGAUGAUACGCGAGGAACCUUACCCGGGCUUGAAAGUUAGUGAAUGUGACAGA